rnacentral:lncRNA from 1 species
UUUAAAUUUUGGUAAUAAAGUCCUCAUUACAUCUGUUUUUCCUUCUCAUAGCAAACAAAAGGACCACCAGUGUGAUGAUUGAGCCUCUUGAUGCAUCUGCUCCAUGUGAAUUAACAUACUAGAUCAUUCUUUGGAUCUGAUACAGGAGGCAUUUUCUGAGCACCGAUAAGGGUGACAGAGAAUGCAAAGAGCUGGAGCAUCCUUGUGCUUCCUGUGGCCCUGCUGCCCUCAGACCCUUCUGAGGGGCUGCUCCCUCUGGGCCUUGGUAACCAGAGAGCAAAGCAAAAUCUAGAAGAAAAGCAAAAUCUGUAAGGAAUGAAUCUGAUUUUCAGCCAGAUGGCUGCCGCUGGACACGCAAUCCUUGUCUGCCCCAUCCUCCCUUCUGAUCAGCUCUCCAUGGGAAUACACUGCUGGAAGAUCAGCUGAGGCCUUCCUCUCAAAAAGGCACAUUUCUCCCCCCCAACAGUGAGUUACAUUCAUUAUUCUGAACAUUUUUGGACAGACUGAAGGAUC